AUGGCACUUGCAGCAGGUGUCCUAAAAAUAGUUGCACCUCAACCCGGAGCUAUUUAUCCCACCCACGUACUUCUUGCCAUGGUUCUACUGACCAUCACCGCAAGUAUCUACCUUGCACUCCGUCGUAAAACUGUAUACCUUGUUGACUACGCUUGCUUCCGGCCAAGUUUCAACCUAAGAUGCCCAAAGGCAACCUUCCUCGAGCAUGCACAUCUCUCAUCUUUGCUUGAUGAUUCUAGUGUCAACUUCAUAGGAAAUGUUCUCAAGCGCUCAGGAAUGAGCGAUGAGACAUGUGUCCCGCCUGUACUUCACUAUAUAGAGCCAUAUUGUGGGCUUUACGAAGCACGUGCCGAAGCAGAGUCGAUUGUCUUCUCGGUGACCGAUGAUCUUUUGGCCAAGACAUGGAUCAAUCGUGAUGCGAUCGGUGUUCUUAUCACCACCUCGAGUAUAUUUUGUCCGAUACCAUCUAUUGCUGACAUGAUUGUGAAUAGAUACAAGUUAAGAGGUGAUCUUCGUGUAAUGAACCUCUCAGGAAUGGCAUGCUCUGCAUCAGUGACGGCAGUGGGGCUCGCAAGCAAUAUGUUGCAGGUCAUGCCUUGGGGGUCGCAUGCAUUGAUAGUGUCAACAGAGACCACUGGGCCGUGCCACUAUCAAGGGAAUACACGCUCCAUGCAGUUGCCUAACAUCUUAUUCCGCACAGGUGGAGUGGCGAAGUUGUUGUCGACUUCUAGGUCAAAAGCUCGGUUUGAGCUUGCGCAUGUCACGCGGAUAAUCACUGCGGCAAACAACUCCGCGUACCGAUGUGCAUAUCAGGAGGAAGAUGAGAAGGGCAUCCUAGGGACACGUCUCACUAAAGACCUUAUGGUUGUUGCUGGAGACGCACUCAAGGACAAUCUCACUACAAGCGGGCCACUUGUACUGCCGACAGCAGAGCUUCUCAAGUUUUUUCUUUUUGACAUUGCUGGAAAGGUGCUCUAUUGGAGGAAGAUUAGACCAUACAUCCCCAACUUCUGUGUUGCAUUUGAACAUAUAUGCAUCCACGUAGGUGGACCUGCGGUUAUCAGCUCAAUACAGCGUGGCCUCAAUCUAUCAGACAAACACGUUGAACCGUCACGAAUGACACUAUAUCGCUUUGGAAACCAGUCGGCCGCAUCAGUGUGGUAUGAGUUGGCAUACAUCGACGCUAAAGGCCUAAUGAAGAAAGGCGACAGGGUGUGGAUGAUCGGAUUUGGUGCAGGGUACGAGUGCAACACCGCUAGUUGGGUGUGUAUACAACCAUCUUCCUGCGCGGAUGGACCCUGGGCUAACUGCAUCAAUUGCUACCCUGUGGAUAUCUCUAGAAAAGCUUAA
rnacentral:rRNA from 1 species